rnacentral:rRNA from 1 species
AGAGUUUGAUCCUGGCUCAGAACGAACGCUGGCGGCGUGCUUAACACAUGCAAGUCGUACGAGAAAUCCUGAGCAAUCGGGAAAGUAAAGUGGCGCACGGGUGAGUAACGCGUGGGUAACCUGCCCUUGAAUUGGGGAUAACCCUGCGAAAGUGGGGCUAAUACCAAAUAAUAUUCCAUCCUCCCCGGAGGUUGGAAUCAAAGAUGGCCUCUGCAUGCAAGCUAUUGUUUAAGGAUGGGCCCACGUGCCAUUAGCUUGUUGGUAGGGUAACGGCCUACCAAGGCGACGAUGGUUAGCUGGUCUGAGAGGAUGGCCAGCCACACUGGAACUGAGACACGGUCCAGACUCCUACGGGAGGCAGCAGUGGGGAAUCUUGCGCAAUGGGGGAAACCCUGACGCAGCAACGCCGCGUGGGUGAUGAAGGCCUUCGGGUCGUAAAGCCCUGUCAGGUGGGAAGAAACUUGUCGAUGCUAAUAUCAUCGACACUUGACGGUACCACCGGAGGAAGCACCGGCUAACUCCGUGCCAGCAGCCGCGGUAAUACGGAGGGUGCAAGCGUUGUUCGGAAUUAUUGGGCGUAAAGCGCGUGCAGGCGGUCGGGUAAGUCAGAUGUGAAAGCCUUCCGCUUAACGGAAGAAGUGCAUUUGAAACUGCUCGGCUAGAGUACGGGAGAGGAGAGUGGAAUUCCCGGUGUAGAGGUGAAAUUCGUAGAUAUCGGGAGGAACACCAGUGGCGAAGGCGGCUCUCUGGUCCGAUACUGACGCUGAGACGCGAAAGCGUGGGGAGCAAACAGGAUUAGAUACCCUGGUAGUCC